CGCACAACGUCAGCGCAGGGGUUUUUGUGAGGGAGCAAAGCCUGGUGCUGCAAAAUGUAAUUCGUAACGAUUCCGGAGAGUAUAAUUGUGCAGCGCAGAACGAUGAAGGAAUGUCUACAAGCAACCCACUAAAUUUACAAGUUAGAUAUCCACCAGAGUGUAUCUCAUCGAAGAACAGUCAAGUAUUUGUAGUGCUGGAGAAGAAGACGGUAGAGUUAAUCUGUGAAGUUAACUCCAGUCCGCCACCUAAUCACUUUAUGUGGUCGUUUAAUAACUCCAAGGUGUACAUGGAUAUAGAUCCAAAAUACUACAAAUCAAGGGGAUGUACAUCAACUUUCCUGUACACACCAAGUUCAGAAGAGGAUUUUGGUGUCGUCUCGUGUUUAGCUUUAAACACCGCAGGCCUUCAAAAAGAUCCAUGCAAUUACCUACUGGUGGCGCC